CCUACGGGAGGCAGCAGUGGGGAAUUUUGGACAAUGGGCGAAAGCCUGAUCCAGCGACGCCGCGUGGAGGACGAAGGUCUUCGGAUUGUAAACUCCUUUUGCAGGGGACGAAAAAAAUGACGGUACUCUGCGAAUAAGCCACGGCUAACUACGUGCCAGCAGCCGCGGUAAUACGUAGGUGGCGAGCGUUACUCGGAAUCACUAGGCGUAGAGCGCGUGUAGGCGGUAUUUUAAGUCUGUUGUGAAAUCUUAUGGCUCAACCAUAAAAUGUCGACAGAUACUGAAGUACUAGAGUGAGGCAGGGGAAACUGAAAUUCCAGGUGUAGCGGUGGAAUGCGUAGAUAUCUGGAAGAACACCGAUGGCGAAAGCGGUCUCCGGGCCCAAUACUGACGCUGAGAUGCGAAA
rnacentral:rRNA from 1 species